UGAGUAAGACAGAUGGUCGCGGCUACAAUGCCGAAAGGUAGUAGGUGAGGAAAGUCCGGGCUUCGCAGGGCAAGAUGCCAGAUAACGUCUGGUGGAGGUGACUCCAAGGAUAGUGCAACAGAAAUAUACCGCCAGGAAACUGGUAAGGGUGGAAGGGUGGUGUAAGAGACCACCGCCCCUGUGGUAACACAGGGGGGAUAUGUAAACCCCAUCUGAAGCAAGACCGAACAGAACGAAGGGCGGCCCGUCCAUGUUCAGGUAGGUUGCUCGAGCAUAUUGGUGACGAUAUGCCUAGAUAGAUGACCAUUUGAUACAUAACCCGGCUUACAGUUUUGCUCAAGGA
rnacentral:RNase_P_RNA from 1 species